AUCCCAUGGUGCGGACGCGCAUGGAUGUACUCCUAAAGUCUCUCCCAAGCAUCAGGAAUUGACUCAUUUGAUGCCUGCUGAAAGCUCAAAAUUUUUCCAUGAAGAU